GUUGUUAUUAUUAUUAUUACAUCACUAAUCAUUGAAGAAAAAAAUCACAAAGUUAACUAACCCCCAACUAAUUCGUUAGAGACUUAGUUCUUCCUUCAAAGUAGAACAAACAGAACCAAAUUCAACUAAUUCUUCCCACAAAAUAAAAAACCCCAACUAAUUUUUCCCACAAAAUCUAACAAACAAAACCAAAUUGCCCCUAUGUUAUUCCAACUCUCAGAAUUUCGCUCAUCUAUUCCUAAUAGAUUAACCCCAAAAUAGCAUCAAAUUUGAUUUUGAUUUCGAUUAAAUUAAUACUCUGUAUCAACUUUUAAUUUGUUGGUGUAGAUUGAAGAGAGUAAAGAAUUAAAUAUAGAUAGUUUGUUGCCAUCUUCUAAUAAUAUCUUGGUGCAACCUGAAAAUAGCAGCGGAAUACAUCAAUGUGAUUUGAUAAGCUUACGAAUGUUGGAGGAGAUAUUAAGAAUUUCUUAGCUGCCAGACAGCCGCAGCAGCAGGCAGUCAGAGCCGUUAGUAGCUGGCAGCCUGCAUCUAGAAGCCUGCAGCUAUCAGCCACUAGUAGGAAGCAGCAAGCCGACAGCCACUAGAUGCAGCUAGCCGCCACAAGCAGGAAGUCACCAGCGGGCGUGCAGUCGCAGACUGUAGUCAGGAACAACAACUUAGGUCUCAACUAAAGACACCGAUAUGGCAAACAUGCUGUUGAACUAUGUGCCCGUCUAUGCAAUGAUACCGCAAUUCAGUAAGCCUGCAUUAAACAACAAUUCAGUAAGCCUGCAUUAAUCAGCAUUCAGCACAAGCAUUUCCUUAAUUAAGUCACAUAAAAAAUUAUUGCAUAUGAGAAAUUUGAAGUCUAGGAAAUACGGCUCCUUAAUCAAGGCCAUUUACAGAUUCACUACGGCCAAAAUUAUUGUACAUAGCAUAUAAUGAUUUACACCAGAAGUGCUACUGAGUCAGAUAAAAGGUGAAGCAUUUCAAACAUGCCAGAACACUAUAUGGAUGUAUGAGUAGGCUUAACACUAUACCACAACAUUCUUAUGGGGAGGGAGAACCUUAAAUACAUGAAUUGUUAUCUCCUCCCACAACCCCCAAAAUAAGAAAGAUGGUUCCCGUUUGUAGGGAGGCGAUCAUUUUGUACUUCUUAAAGUUCUUGUUAGUUUGGCACAAGGUUGUAAAUUGAUUGAAAUUGAUUUGUUUAUGAACGUGGACGACCAUGAGAAGGCUCAUCUUGAACUAUAAUUUAUGAACAUAGACUUGUUAUUGCAAUAGUUU